UAACACAUGCAAGUCGAGCGGAUGAAGGGAGCUUGCUCCCUGAUUCAGCGGCGGACGGGUGAGUAAUGCCUAGGAAUCUGCCUGGUAGUGGGGGACAACGUCUCGAAAGGGACGCUAAUACCGCAUACGUCCUACGGGAGAAAGCAGGGGACCUUCGGGCCUUGCGCUAUCAGAUGAGCCUAGGUCGGAUUAGCUAGUUGGUGAGGUAAUGGCUCACCAAGGCGACGAUCCGUAACUGGUCUGAGAGGAUGAUCAGUCACACUGGAACUGAGACACGGUCCAGACUCCUACGGG
rnacentral:rRNA from 1 species